AACCCACUCCAGUAUUCUUGCCUGGGAAAUCCCAUGGACAGAGGAGCCUGGCGGGCUACAGUCCAUGGGGUCACAAAGAGUCAGACACAACUGAAGUGACUUAGCACACACACACAUGAGGAAAGGCUAAUUCUCAGGGACUCCUGAAGCUCCAGUGGCGUUGGAACCUGAAACUCUGGGGACACAUAUGCCCAGGAGAAUCACUCUGUAUCAGUCUCUCUCUCUCUCAAAAAAGAAGAGGACUCACCAUGUAUCUUGAGAGGGCACCAAUCCAGUAAGUCCCCCACCUCUUUAGGAGAAACACAGAAAGGGGUUUUGAAUGCCUUCCCUCAAAGAUCAGCACCAACCGAGAAUCUAACCUGUCCAAAAAUUGCCACCUUGUAUCAACCUGUAGGGGAGCCAAGGAGUUUACAUUGCCAGGGCCAAGAUCUUACACUUCUUUGUGGGGAUUAAUAAAUGAUCAGUUCUCAAAGAAUUAAGCGAAGAUAAUUUGGUUUGAAAAAAUUUAAAAGUGGUAUCAAUCACUGCCCAUAGCAAAAUAUUGUUCAUUUCAGUUCAGUCGCUCAAUCGUGUCCAACUCUUUGCGACCCCAUGCAUCGCAGCAGGCCAGGCCUCCUGGUCCAUCACCAACUUGUUAGCAUAGACUUAAUGGGAUUGACGGUGUAUCCCUGGAAAUUGACCAGAGCAAACUGGUUGCAAAAUAUGGAUCUAGUUACUUAAAAACUGGUGCAUUGCAAGGUACAGAGUUCAGUUAAGUAAUGUCAAAUAUAAAGAAACUUGUGCAUUUUAAAUUAUAUUUAGUGCAUUUUAAUGCACUAAAGCUUCAUUUAAAAUUUUCCAGUUUUACCACUUAAGUUACUGGUAGUGCCUAAUUCAGAUAAUUAUGGUCAUAAUAUAAUUACUAAUAAAAUUCCUAACAAAGCCAGCAUAAAGGAAUACAUUGUAGCCUAGAUGUGAUAAAGUACUAUUAUAUGUUAAAAUAAUGUCAGAUACCCAUGUGUUGUUACAUAUUCUUUCAUAAAUAUUCUCAAGAAUUGUAGUUUUACCUUAGCCUAUGAAGCACAAGUCAAUUUGUUAUUCUUAUCUGAUUGAAGCAAAAAGAGAUAUGAAUAAUUAAGUUGGCUUCUUAGCUUAAUUGUAGUUGAUUUUGUAGAAGAAACAGUUUUCUUUUUAAUUAUAUUUAGCUAGAAGCCCUCAUUUUUUUUGCCAUAUUUAACCAAAGGCUGGAGACAGUCUUCAUAGGUACUAGAUGCCAGGGAAAUACAAGUUAAGACUAAAGAUUUGCUGUAGAUGAUUCAAAUAAGGGUAUUCUAGAAUCAAAUAAAAUUUAAAACUGAACAUUUAAUUUGGUCAAUAUGUCUUUAACUGUCCUGUAGAUUAACGAUAUAAAUUCUCCAAAUCUGACAUUGUUUUCCUAUUAUAACAUCAUUAAAUCACAAGGUUAAAGUUGUCCUUUGUAAAUAUUGCUGACUUAUUCUCAACUUUUAGGAACUAUGUCAUCACAGUUAAAAUUUGCACUGAUGUACACAAAUGAAGAAACUAAUAUUUUUGGAUUUAUGCUUAACUUUGCUGAAAACAAUGCUGUUUUACAAAACUUUAGCCUUGUUUUCAUAGAUCAGAGUUUUCAAACUCAGUUUCUAUGAAAAAUCCUUAAACGGUCAGAGGUGUGUGUUUAGCACAGAAACUAACUCCUUGGAUAGACUUUCUGAAUAUUAGCUUCAUGCCACCCAAAAUAUUUUUCUAAAGCCUUUGUGACCUCCUGUUUUCUUUCACUGUUAAGGUUUUGUAGGUACUUGAAAUCUACUGUCCAAAUGCUUUCAUGCCAACAAAUAGCAAGUAAUAGAAAAACACAAAUUGCAGCUUAUACUUAAAUGUAUUUUUUUUUAAUAUACAUGGGUUAGGGUACAUGAUUUUAUAUAAUUUACUAUGGUGAUAGUUUCUACUAGAUAAAUUGUCCUAAGUUCAUCUGAUUACAUAAAUAUUUCAUGGUGUUUCAUAUUGAUAAGGUUAGUUUCAAGUUCUUUUGUCCCUUAGAUUGUUUUUAAAUCACUGAUGAAUUAAAAAGUUCAUUACAUCUUUGUGUAUGGUUCAAAAUUACAUCUUUGUGUAUGGUCCUGUAUAGCUUAUUUCCUAAUUAAGGCAGAAUUGUGUUUUUGUUUUGUUUUGUUUUUUAAGCAAUUAAAAUGAAGAAAAUACAAAAUUAUGAAGAGAUAAUUUGUAGAUUUGUUAAAUGUUCUGUUCUCUAAUCUUGUGUUGAGGUUUGAUGAAUUUUGUAACUUAAAUACUUAUAAAGGAGUGGAAAGAUUCCAGAUUGUUACUCAAAAUUCUAUUCAUGGGAUCUGUUGUCUUGGAUGUUGCUUUAAUAAACAUGCAGAGUUGGAGAACUGUCUAUAAAUAGUGUUUCCUGGGCUAAUAUUAACUUUUUUGACAAUGAGAGAUACAUGAAAUUUUGGGUUGGGACAUAGAGAACAUCUUAGAGUUACUGCUUUUUCCAGCUGGAGAUUAAGGUUGGAAGAUAGAGGUGCAAAGUCUGGGAGGACCAGUCCCUUUCAUCUGGGAGCCUGGAUUUAUUGCCUUGAAGGAAGUGCGUGUAUCAUGCUUCAGAGGCUGUGUGAUGAUACACCGUAAGAUAGGGAUCCCUUUGGAUAAUACAGAGGCUCAAUUCCUUUGGGUUUCUUAUCCCUUAUUUUACCUAACUCUGCCCAGGGCCCAGAAUGGACUCCAAAUCUGUGACCUGUGUUUAGCAGGCAAGAAAAGACAUCCCCAAAUUGUUUAGCUUCUCUGGUUUAUGUUAGUUACAAUUUUAUAAAGUCAUCAGAGUGCUUAUGAUGUUUAAGGAUGCCUAAUAAUCACGGAGACCUGUCUGUAAAGUCAGAGUGUCACUGGGAACCCUCAGGUGUACUGAAGCAGUGGUCUGGGGCAAGUCUCAGGAGAGACUUCUGCAGUUGAGAAUUCUCACUGGGUGGCUUGGAGCUGGCAAGAUUGCAUGUAUUAAACACUAUGGCUUUUUAUAGUGGCUGUUGGAAAACUGAUCAUCAGGAGAAAAUGAACAGGCGUUUCUAUAUUAUGUGCUACGAAUGAAUCCUAUUUUAGUGCUUUUCACCGAGGGGUUUAUACCACACAAAAAAUACAUGUAGGGCAUUUAUUUUUGGCAGCUUUCACAAAAAUUGUGGUGAUGGUUGCCUAUGAACAUUUUCUUACACAUCAUUAGAGAAUAGAUUCCAGAAACUUCCUGGAAAUAAUUACUCCAAGUUUAACAUUGCUUUGAUUUAAAAUGCAGUUUUGUAUAGUUUUAAAAUGCAAAUUUUAGAAGAUGGGACCUCGGCUAAAAUUUCAUUCUGGAAGUCUUAUUUAAUGGGUUUAUUUAAUAUUAAUUAAUUAUCUUAUUUAAUAGAUACCAAUACCAUAAAACUUGAUAAAUCUAUGUGUGUCAACACUGAUUUAAGGGAAGUAGGAGAAAUGUGACUCAACUAAGAUAUUAUGAGACAAAAAUAAACUAUACAGAACUGUUUGGCUGCUUGGUACUAACAUAACUAGUUAGAAAAUAAUGAUGUUUGCUAUUCUUUAUUAGCUUAUUUCACUUUUAUUUUAAAUCAUUUAAUAUUUUUUAUUGAUAGAUUAUUCAAAAUUGACAUUUAAAGAGUAUUAAAGAAACAGUAUCCUUUUAUAUUUUUCCUUCUCAUACAUAACCAUAGUCAUGGUUUUCCUUAAUAUGCGAUCCAGAAUAUAAUUUGCAAUUUAUGCUUUGAUUUAUUUUCAGCUUUUUGCUUAGAUUGUGCCUGAUAUAUUUCAUUAUUUUAAGAAAUGUAUCAAGGUCAGGAGUUCUUUUAAAGUUAGGAACAAUAACAAAAACAACAUGCUAACUUGUAAACCCAAUGGACAUGAAAAUAAUACUCUAAAAAGCAAAUGUUAUGUGUGCCUUUAAAAGUAUAAAGCAAUCAUUCUGGAUCGAUAAACUGCUAGUUUGAGUCAGAUUGGACUUACAGUUUUUUUUUUCUGAUACUACCCCAAAGAAGGCUCUAUUCACCUUGCUUUAAAUUAUACAAACAAAUAACACAAAUGGACAGUUAAAGUGAAUAUUUUGUGCUUUAAAGAAGACUAAUAUUUUAUGCUAUAAAGGCAUGAUCCAAAAGAGAAGUAAUAAAAUCAUCUCUUCCCUUACCUCUGGGAUUUCUAGGCUGGUCGAACCCUGACCAUUACUAGUAGUGUUUCAAGUUUCUUCCAUUUACUUUCAUUGUACUGGGUUAUUUGUAUCUUCAAGUGAAAUGGCUGAGCUUUCCCUCUAACUCCUGUUGCUAUUGACAACCAAAGCAGCCAUGCAAGAAGAAAAUGCUGUGGAAGGAAAAGAAAAAAAAAACUUUAAUAUUUCCUUCUCAAAGUUGGAGAGAAAAGGGAAACACAGUAUGUAAGAAACAGAUAUUUUGUCCAAUACUCAUGUAAAUAAAAGGAUACUGUCUCUUGGAACCAAACAUUAAUAUUCUGAAGAUUAAAAAUUGGAUUGCAAGAAAAGCACUGAAAGUUGCAAAUAUGUAAGUCUCCGGGAAUGUAACAAGUUGAUAAAUACCCAAGUCCAGCCUCCUUACAGAGAAAAGAUCUGGAAUUUCUUUUUUUGGACAUUUGUU